GGGGAUUUAGCUCAGUGGCAUAAGCACCUGCCUUGCAAGCAGGUGGUCAUACGUUUGAUUCCCUG
rfam:Cavia porcellus supercont2_4 genomic scaffold, whole genome shotgun sequence.